GCCUCCUACGGGACGCAGCAGUGAGGAAUAUUGGUCAAUGGACGAGAGUCUGAACCAGCCAAGUAGCGUGAAGGAUGACUGCCCUAUGGGUUGUAAACUUCUUUUAUAUGGGAAUAAAACGUUCCACGUGUGGGAUUUUGUAUGUACCAUAUGAAUAAGGAUCGGCUAACUCCGUGCCAGCAGCCGCGGUAAUACGGAGGAUCCGAGCGUUAUCCGGAUUUAUUGGGUUUAAAGGGAGCGUAUGUGGAUUGUUAAGUCAGUUGUGAAAGUUUGCGUCUCAACCGUAAAAUUGCAUUUAAAACUGG
rnacentral:rRNA from 1 species